rnacentral:rRNA from 1 species
UGGGAACGUACCCUUUGGUUCGGAACAACCCAGGGAAACUUGGGCUAAUACCGGAUAAGUCCGUAAGGAGAAAGAUUUAUCGCCAAAGGAUCGGCCCGCGUCUGAUUAGCUAGUUGGCAGGGUAAUGGCCUACCAAGGCUACGAUCAGUAGCUGGUCUGAGAGGAUGAUCAGCCACAUUGGGACUGAGACACGGCCCAAACUCCUACGGGAGGCAG